rnacentral:lncRNA from 1 species
UAAAUCUGUCACUGUUUUAUUUGUUAAUAAUUAAUCUUCUUUCUUUAUUAAUUUGAGUUAUUUGAUGAACUUCCAGCAGCAAACAUUUUAUUCAUUUUUAGAAAGAUUGUUUUAUGACUUGAUAUCUUACACAAUAAAUAUUUGUAUAUCUCCUCAUUAGAAUGUGUGAUAUAUAUAACAAAAAGUUGCCUCAUAUUUCUCAACCAUAACAAUUAGUUCCAAUCAAUUAUUAUUCAUUAUCAUAUACUUGUAUGAAAUAUUACUAAAAUUUUACAAUUCAAUAACAUUUAAAAAUAUUAAAAGGCUAUUAAAGGUUUGCUAGGUUUAUUGGACAGAUUCCUAAGAAUUUCCUCAGCGGGGUGAUAAAGGGACCUUUAGUGACUGCUUCAGGAAUGUUAUCAUAUGCCUUUCCGCUAAUUUCUGUGACGUUUAUCACAUGCAACUUCGUGCAUUUCCAGAAAUUUGUUAGAAUAUGACAAAACAGUGCUGAAAACCGCAAGUGAUUUAAGAAUUUUCACAAAAUAGUUGAGGAGCAAAUUUUUUUAAUGAAUAGUUGUUGUCUGUAAUUCAUCUGGUGAAGUAUAUGAUAAAAAGAUCAUUAAAUGUCAUUUUUCAUAUCAGACCCUUUAUCGGCCCUGGUACAUGAUAUCAUCCUUCGAGCCUGCGGCUCUUGGGCGAUAUCAUGACCUAGGGCCGAUAAAGGGUCUGAUAUGAAAAAUGCCAUGUAAUAAUCUAUACUUAUUGUGAUAAUAGUCUUUAUUUAUGUUUUCAUACACAACAUAUCUUGUAUUAUUUCAAACUUAUAUUCUUCAUAGCACUAUAAGGUUUAUUUCAAAUAUGCAUGUUUCCAGCUGUAUUUU